rnacentral:lncRNA from 1 species
UGUAAUACCCCAACUUUAAUUAAUAGAGAAAUAUUAAUUAUAGGUAAUUAUUGGAGACUAAAGGGAGAUAAGUGAAUGAGUAUGAAAAGAUAAUUAAAGGGCAUAAGUACAAUUUGGUAAUAAGUGAGGGACAAAAGAGACAUUACCAUAGGCAAAUAGGGGCUUUUGAAGAUAAUGGUAUAUAAAUAGAAUAAGAAGGCUAAAAGAAUCAGACCACUCAUUCAUCUUCUUCCUUGGU